rnacentral:lncRNA from 1 species
AGCGGGCGGAGGAAUGGAGUGGUACAGUUCAAACUGCUGACGUUAAACCACCACACUAACUGCAGAAACCAACAAAAACAAAACCUCUUUGGAAGCUCAGCGUGGACAUCUAGACGGCCCCGUCAACAUGGCAGCACGCAAACGACCCCUUCAAGACAUCUUGCUCUGAAAUACACCUGCAUCCACUUCCAGCCUGCCUGGGGGAGCGCGUUACAACGUCUCUGCUUUCGGAAUGGAACAUUUCUGCUCAAAAAAUGAAAGGCACCCCGCUCCUUGAGAACGCAAUGGAAUGUGUCACAUUCCAACCUUCGGCAAGCGCAGUCUCUUCACCUACACGUUCCUGUGAAAAUCCCUGUACUCUUUACAGUCAUCCACGGAUUAAGUCAGAAGCAAAGUUGAGACUCUAAAUUCAGCUGGCUGCGUGUAGCCCAUUGAAACUCGGCUUCUCAGCGCCAUGCCUUUGACCUCCCACAUCUGAACCCUUAAAGGAGCAAGUCAAGCCUCUUUCUAGAGAUGAAAUUUGUAACAUGAUUCCUGGCGCGGUGCAGGGGCCUCUUCGCUCCUCCUGCCAGCUGGUCCCAAUUAGGAGCGGGUUGGGGUAAUUUAAGAGUGUGGAGGGUGUCUGUGCAGUAGGAGUGUUGUUCUCUAAGCACUUAGCUUCCCUAGCAUCUCAAGCCCAGCUAGAACGAAUGGAUCCUUUAAUAUUUUGAAUUACGAGGUGAUUUUCACCGGGUUUCCAAAAAAAGGAAAUAAAAUAUAUAAAUAAAACCA